UACGUAGGCAGCAAGCGUUGUUCGGAAUUACUGGGCGUAAAGCGAGUGUAGGCGGUUGCCCAAGUCAGGUGUGAAAGCCUUGAGCUCAACUCAAGAAAUGCACUUGGUACUGGGUGGCUAGAGGACCGGAGAGGAUAGUGGAAUUCCCAGUGUAGUGGUGAAAUACGUAGAGAUUGGGAAGAACACCAGUGGCGAAGGCGGCUAUCUGGACGGUUACUGACGCUAAGACUCGAAAGCGUGGGGAGCAAACAGG
rnacentral:rRNA from 1 species